AACGGAGGGGGCUGGUGUUACUCAGAAUAAUUGGGCGUAAAGGGUGCGUAGGUUGUUUUUUAAGUUGAAAGUUAAAUACAAAAGCUUAACUUUUGAAAGGCUUUUAAUACUGUAAAACUAGAGUUUAGAAGAGGAUAGUAGUAUUUUUAGUGCAGAGGUUAAAUUCGUUAAUAUUAAAAGGACUAUCAAAGGCGAAGGCAACUAUCUGGGAUAUAACUGACGCUGAGGCACAAAAGCAUGGGGAGCAAACAGG
rnacentral:rRNA from 1 species